rnacentral:rRNA from 1 species
AUUGAACGCUGGCGGCAGGCCUAACACAUGCAAGUCGAGCGAGCGGCGGACGGGUGAGUGAUGUCUGGGAAACUGUCUGUUGGAGGGGGAUAACUACUGGAAACGGUAGAUAAUAACGCAUACCAUCAGAUGUGCCCCGAUGGGGUUAGCUAGUAGGUGGGGUAAUGGCUCACCUAGGCGACGAUCCCUAGCUGGUCUGAGAGGAUGAACAGCCACACUGGAACGGAGACACGGUCCAGACUCCGACGGGAGGCAGCAGUGGGGAAUAUUGCACAAUGGGCGCAAGCCUGAGGCAGCCAUGCCGCGUGUGUGAAGAAGGCCUUCGGGUUGUAAAGUACUUUCAGUCGGGAGGCGUUACCCGCAGAAGAAGCACCGGCUAACUCCGUGCCAGCAGCCGCGGUAAUUC